UACGUAGGGGGCUAGCGUUGUCCGGAUUUAUUGGGCGUAAAGAGCGUGUAGGCGGCCAGGUAGGUCUGCUGUGAAAACUCGAGGCUCAACCUCGAGACGUCGGCGGAAACCAUCUGGCUAGAGUCCGGAAGAGGAGACUGGAAUUCCUGGUGUAGCGGUGAAAUGCGCAGAUAUCAGGAGGAACACCGGUGGCGAAGGCGGCAUCCUGGACCAACACUGACACUGAGGAGCGAAAGCCAGGGGAGCAAACGGG
rnacentral:rRNA from 1 species